ACGCUCGACACCUACGGGAGGUAGCAGUGGGGAAUAUUGGGCAAUGGGCGCAAGCCUGACCCAGCAACGCCGCGUGAAGGAAGAAGGCUUUCGGGUUGUAAACUUCUUUUGUCAGGGAACAGUAGAUGAGGGUACCUGACGAAUAAGCUCCGGCUAACUACGUACCAGCAGCCGCGGUAAUCUGAGCGGGCGUGGCGAAGGCG
rnacentral:rRNA from 1 species